GACAUAGGUCGCAAACGUUAUCCGGAAUUAUUGGGCGUAAAGGAUGCGUAGAUGGUUCAGUAAGUUACUGGUGGGAAAUCGAGGCCCAACCUCGUGGAAGUUAGUAAUACUGUUGAACUUGAGUGCAGGAGAGGUUAACGGAACUUCAUGUGGAGCGGUAAAAUGCGUAGAUAUAUGAAAGAACAUCAAUAUGGCGAAGGCAGUUAACUAUUCUGCUACUGACAGUGAGGCAUGAAAGCGUGGGGAGCAAAACGG
rnacentral:rRNA from 1 species